rnacentral:SRP_RNA from 1 species
GCUGGGCAUGGUGGCACAUGCCUGUAGUCCUAGCUACUUGGGAGGCUGAGGCAGGAGAAUCACCUGAACCCAGGAGGCAGAGGUUGCAGUGAGCCAAGAUGGCACCACUGCACUCCAGCCUGGGUGACAGAGUGAGACUCUGUCUCAA